UUCCAAUGAGACAGGGCACACCAAACUCCAUCUGUGCUACAACUCAGUUGCUUAUUGAAAUGAAGAGGGAGUUUGCAAGCUGAAAAGUGGAUAUGAGCUACCCUGGAGGAAUUUUUUCUUGGUAGGGAAACAGCUUUGUCCCUAUAGGAGUUGUUGAACACCCUGGCUUUUGGAGGGUGUUCAGAAUUUAUUUGGGGAGAUAGUGGAGAUCACUGCCAGCCACAGCAGUCUUGGCAUUUCACCUUUCCUUCCAGAUCUCUUUCAGUCCCAUUCUCUCCCCACUGCACUAUAGCAUUUGCCCCCAUACCUAAGUCUUACUCUUCUGCUUCCCUCUCUCCUUCUGUCAGUUCUCUGCCUGAGGCCCUGCUUUAUUUCCCAUUCCUUUGUAGGAGAAAAGGGAAGAUAAUCCCUAAGCCAGGGGCUUAAGUUCUC
rnacentral:lncRNA from 1 species